UGAAAAGGAAGAGAUAGUUGCCAGUUCAGUUAUUAGUCCUACUCCAACUUCCCACGAUCGAAACCAAAGAACAGUUUGACGAUUUCCACGACGAAACCAAAGAGCAGUUCACCGAUUCCCAUGAUCUGAGUUUAGUUGAAGGUUCAACAACAACUGCCCACAUACCACCGCUAUAUACAGAUGAAUAUUCGAAAAGAGCCCAAUUUUCGAAACCAGACUUCGGGACGUCGUCUUGGAGCCCAUCCUCUUCACACCUUCGAUCCCGGACGCCCACUUUCAAGAGCCCAAUCUCCUGGCUGUUGCUCAUCUUCCCUUCUCUCUUCCGAUCGCCAUAUUUAAGUAAGUUUUCCAUUUUGUACAAAUCUCUAACCCCAACUUUCCUUUCCAUUUAGCUUUCGAUUUCAACCUUUGAUUCAAGAUUUUUUCCAAUUGCAGUUUUUUUAUUUGGUCCCAUCAUCUGCACACUUUUUUUUUUUUUUUUUUUUUUCCAUCUUUCCUUAUGUGUCCUUAGUAGCUUCCAUCACUCUUGCUCUCUCAAAGAUUGCAUUGAGGCAGAACACGUACUCACUCAAAGACAAUCUGAUUGAGACAGCAAGACUGAAACUCGAAGACGAACAAGCAGAGGAGGAGGUCGGUGAAGAAAAGAGAAGCAAAAGUAAAAGGAAAAAAACACCUAUUCGUCGGAGAUCGAAGAAAAGGAAAGGUGGGAAAGUCCAUUCUUGCCGUAGAGCUCAUGUUGGCAGUGAACCUUGAAGAAAACGAAAGG